GACUCCGUGGCGCAACGGUAGCGCGUCUGACUCCAGAUUAGAAUGUUGCGUGUUCGAAUCACGUCGGGGUCA
rnacentral:tRNA from 1 species